rnacentral:rRNA from 1 species
UACAGAGGGUGCGAGCGUUAAUCGGAAUUACUGGGCGUAAAGCGUGCGUAGACGGUUAUUUAAGUCGGAUGUGAAAGCCCCGGGCUCAACCUGGGAAUUGCAUUCGAGACUGAAUAGCUAGGGUGCGGUAGAGGGAAGCGGAAUUUCCGGUGUAGCGGUGAAAUGCGUAGAUAUCGGGAAGAACACCCGUGGCGAAGGCGGCUCUCUGGGACGGUACUGACGCUGAGACGCGAAAGCGUGGGGAGCGAACAGG